GAUAAAUAAUCGGUUGCGAUAAUGAAGUAUAAUGAAAUUAUAAUUAUCGAUUAAUAAACGAUUUUGAAAUUAAUCGAUAAAUAAUCGGUUUCGAAAAUUAAAUUAAUCGAUAACAUUUAAAAAAAUAUUUUUUUGUUUAUGUAAUAUAGUACCUACUAUUUGUACUUCUGCUUUCCAAGUUAUCAAAAUCAUUUUGGUAGAUAUACAAUACUCAUGGUUUAAUUUGAAAAUUGAGUACUUUCGAACCAUAAAGAGAUGGAAUAUUUCCCUGCAACAAUUUAACAUCGAAAUCUUUUAUUAAUAAAGUUAUUUUUUUAUUUACAUUUGUUUGAACCCUCUUUUCAUACAACAUAAGUAUAUUAUUACUUUCUCUCCCUCUAUCCUUCUCUCUUUCAACAUAAUCUCUUCGUAACUGAAGAGUUUGGAGAAUCCGAAAAUAUUUGAUAUUUAGUUAGUUUAAGGUUAUGUGGGUCUUGUCCCGAGAGCAUACUUAGAGCCGUGAUGCACAUGUAAUAUAUAUACUGCUCUUAAUAAAAAUAGUCUUGACCACUAAAAAUUCCAAGAAAUCCUCUUUACUGUACAUAAUAUUACAAUUAAUACAAGGUCUCUUAGAAAAAUAUUACUCUCAGUUCCAUAUCCAGCAAGUGCGUUAUAGUUCUUAAAAAAAAUUUAUAUUUUUAUGCAAAUUUCGUUGAAAAAAAGCUUAACUUGAAAUACCAAUGACCUCUCAAAAAUUUUGCGGUAAUUGCAAUGCAUAUUUGGAAACCCCGCAUGUACAAUAAAAACCACAAAUUUAUGUAUGUUAUAUAAUAUACAUAUGUAUAUGUCAUUAUCCAUAAUAAUAUCAGCCCAAAUUCUGACUAAUUUUGCAAAAACUUCAGUAUAAAAUAUACAGAAAAAGUAGUGAAUUCUUCGAACCACAGCAUUCAAUAAAGACUGAUAAGGAAAAAGUUCUUGCGGUCGGAGAAAUGGCACUCACUCAUAUAAAAGAGCAAACGAUGCCAUCGAUAUGCACAGUUUACUUUCGUUUGUGCUGAACGCGACUAAGAACAAGAAAAUGACGGAUUAUGCAAAAGCCUUCCAAAUGCUCUUUCAGAGCCCUUUGGAACCCAUCUAUACUUGUCGCGACAAUGGCAAGUGUAUUUUCGAGUUACCGGAUUCCCAUUAUAUGGAGUGUGACGGCGGCGUGAAGGAAAUGUUGCAGGAACGUUAUGCUAAUAGCGAGCACAUAAGGUUCGCCCUGCAGGAGCUGCCGUCAAAGCCAGAUCUAUCGUUCGCUGAUAAAUUAAGUGUGAAACAAAACUUUUCUCUCUUCAAUACGCUACAUAAGGAAAUUGCAGGCAAACUCAUCAGAUUGCUGAUGGAAGCUGAGGAUUUAGAUAAUUUCCUCAGCUUGUGUGUCUAUAGCAGACAUCGUUUGAAUGCUAUGCUCUUCCAAUAUUGUUACUCGGUUGCUUUGCUGCAUCGCAGAGAUACACGUGGCAUUUGGGUACCGCCAGUGGCCGAGAUCUUUCCAGCAAAUUUUAUAGAGCCCUCAGCAUUUACGAAGAUGCGCAAGGCUUUGCAGUUUAAAGGAAAUAAAAAGCCUCACGUACAAAUUCCCCAUAACUAUACCGCCUCCGAUCGUGAAAUCGAACAACGUUUGGCAUAUUUUCGUGAAGAUAUUGGCGUGAAUAUGCAUCACUGGCACUGGCACUUGGUUUAUCCGAAUAGCGGUACACGCGAGAUCAUCAACAAGGAUCGGCGCGGUGAACUCUUCUACUAUAUGCAUCAACAGAUUUUAGCGCGUUACAAUGCCGAACGCUUUUGCAAUAAACUAGCCAAGGCGCUACCAUUAAGUAAUCUACGCGAACCCAUCGAAGAGGGUUAUUAUCCGAAAUUGUUAGAUCAUGCGCAUCAACGCACCUAUCCGGGACGUAGCGGUAAUUUGUGUUUGCAAGAUGUGAAUCGCGAGGACACAACUGUCGAGAUUGCCGAUAUGGAGCGUUGGGCUGAUCGCAUCUUGGCGGCAAUCGAUCAGGGUUUCGUUAGAGAUUCGCAUGGCAACAAGUAUAUACUGGAUGAGGUCACCGGCAUCGAUAUACUGGGCAAUAUCAUUGAGGAAUCCGAUCUGUCCAUCAAUGUUCAAUACUACGGCAAACUGCAUAAUAUGGGUCACAAUUCAAUUGCCAGCAUACACGAUCCAGAUCAUCGGCAUAUGGAGGAAUUCGGCGUGAUUGGACAUAAUAUGACCGCCAUGCGUGAUCCGGUCUUCUAUCGCUGGCACACAUACAUAAAUAAUAUAAUGUUGAAAUUCAAAAAACUCUUACCUCCCUACAGUGAGCAACAGCUCAGCUUCAGCGACAUCAAUUUGCGAGAAAUUGAAGUUAGGACGAGCUCAUUGAAGGAACCGAAUCAUUUUGAGACCUUUUGGCAAAACUCCGAAGUUGACUUGGCGGCCGGUUUGGAUUUUACCGCCGAUAGCGGUUUACAUGCCUCGUACACGCAUCUCCAACAUGCGUCAUUCGAGUAUUGCUUUGUGGUUGAGAACAACAGUGAGCAUGUGAAAUGCGGCACUUGUCGAAUUUUUCUCUGCCCCAUAAAGGAUGAAAGUGGCAAGCUCUUAAAAUUGGAAGAACAGCGCUUGUUGGCAAUUGAAUUGGAUAAAUUUACCGUUAAGCUUUACCCCGGCGAAAACCAAUUGAAGCGGCUUUCUGAGGAGUCCUCCGUAACCAUUGCUGUUGAGCGCACCUUUGGUCGCACCACCAAUAAGGACGCACUGUCUGAAGCGAAUCCGGAACUCAACACACGUCUGCACUUCUGCGGUUGCGGUUGGCCGCAUUAUAUGCUGUUGCCUAAAGGUAAAAUUCGUGGCCAGCGAUUUGAUUUGUUUGUCAUGAUUUCGGAUUAUGCCGACGAUGCGGUCCAGCAGCCGGGCCAGACAAGAGAUUGUCAUAACUGCGAAGAUGUACCUAACGAAGUGUUUGAUGAGAAUUCCACACUGUGCAAUGACAAUGCGGCUUCCUUCUGCGGUCUGCGCGACAAGUUGUAUCCGGAUAAGCGCACGAUGGGUUAUCCUUUCGACAGACGCUUGCCAGCUGAUACUCUUAAUGGACUUGUGGAACAAUUUGGAAAUAUGCAAAGAAUUGAUGUCACUAUCACAUUCAACGACGAGGUGAGAUCAGCCGUCGACGAGGUGGAUUUAAAUGGAGAAGAUAUCAGUAGUUUAGCAAGAUAGAAAGUGUUCAUCUUGCGCUGUUUAAGAUUAUCAAAUAUUAAUCAUGACUAAAAGUUAAUUAAAUCAAGACUUUAAUCACUUUCAAAUUGUAUAAUCAUAUGACUGCUAAGUGACCUAUUUCUAUGUUCUGUCGGAUAUAUUUGUGAGCAGAGGUUGCCACCUGAUAGAAUUUGUUGUGCAGCUAAAUGUUGAAAAAGUUUAAGGCAAAAAAAUUCUUCGCUAAAAACCAAAAUAAAGCACUUAAAAUUUUUUAAAUAUUUUUGAGAGUGUUGCCAUCUUUCUAAAAAAAAAAUAUAAAGUUAAUAAGAUAAAAGAAUAUUGUAACAAAUUUAUUCGCUAAAAACCAAAACAAAGCACUAAAAUUUUUUUAAAUAUUUUUGAGAAGGGUUGCCAUCUUUGUAAAAAAAGUUAUAAAGUUUAUAUGAUAAAGGAAUAUUAUAAGAAAUUUCUUCGCUAAAAAUAAAGUAAAGCACUUAAAAUUUUUAUAAUAUUUUUGAAAAGGGUUGCCAUCUUUGUAAAAAAAAAUAUAAAGUUGAUAUGAUAAAGGCAUAUUGUAACAAUUAUUUGGCUAUUAAACUUUAGAAGUUUAAGAAAAGCUGCAUCUGAAAAAUAUGGAGCAUAGGUUGCCACCUAAAAAUUUAAUUUUUUUUAAUUUAUGAAAAGGGUUACUUAAAAAACUUUAAAUAAAUUUAGAAAGCAUUGCCGUCUUUGUAUUAAAAUUAUUUCAAUUAAAUUUAUAUCACAAUGGUU